rnacentral:rRNA from 1 species
CCUACGGGAGUCAGCAGUGAGGAAUAUUGGUCAAUGGGCGCUAGCCUGAACCAGCCAAGUAGCGUGAAGGAUGACUGCCCUAUUGGUUGUAAACUUCUUUUAUAUGGGAAUAAAGUGCAGCAUGUAUACUGCUUUGCAUGUACCUUAUGAAUAAGGAUCGGCUAACUCCGUGCCAGCAGCCGCGGUAAUACGGAGGGUCCGAGCGUUAUCCGGAUUUAUUGGGUUUAAAGGGAGCGUAGGCGGGUUGUUAAGUCAGUUGUGAAAGUUUGCGGCUCAACCGUAAAAUUGCAGUUGAUACUGGCAGCCUUGAGUACAGUAGAGGUAGGCGGAAUUCGUGGUGUAGCGGUGAAAUGCUUAGAUAUCACGAAGAACUCCGAUUGCGAAGGCAGCCUGCUGGACUGUAACUGACGCUGAUGCUCGAAAGUGUGGGUAUCAAACAGGAUUAGAUACCCGUGUAGUC